rnacentral:rRNA from 1 species
UAGUCCUACGGGGCGCAGCAGUGGGGAAUAUUGGGCAAUGGGCGCAAGCCUGACCCAGCAACGCCGCGUGAAGGAAGAAGGCUUUCGGGUUGUAAACUUCUUUUAUCAGGGACGAAGCAAGUGACGGUACCUGAUGAAUAAGCCACGGCUAACUACGUGCCAGCAGCCGCGGUAAUACGUAGGUGGCAAGCGUUAUCCGGAUUUACUGGGUGUAAAGGGCGUGUAGGCGGGAGUGCAAGUCAGAUGUGAAAACUAUGGGCUCAACCCAUAGCCUGCAUUUGAAACUGUACU